UACGUAGGGGGCAAGCGUUGUCCGGAUUUAUUGGGCGUAAAGAGCGUGUAGGCGGCCAGGUAGGUCCGUUGUGAAAACUCGAGGCUCAACCUCGAGACGUCGGCGGAAACCCUCUGGCUAGAGUCCGGAAGAGGAGAGUGGAAUUCCUGGUGUAGCGGUGAAAUGCGCAGAUAUCAGGAAGAACACCCGUGGCGAAGGCGGCUCUCUGGGACGGUACUGACGCUGAGGCGCGAAAGCGUGGGGAGCAAACGGG
rnacentral:rRNA from 1 species